rnacentral:lncRNA from 1 species
UGACACCGAAGAAGACUCAUCGGAUGAUUCCGAUUACGAGCCUUAGUUUUAAUUUAGAUGACGUAAUCCAUUAAUUUGUAUAACUAAAGACCUUUUCCUUUAUAGUUUACAUAUGUUGAAUUCAUAUUUCAGUUAUUUUAUAUGAAUUUUGGUGAUAUAUGAUGAACAGGAAGUUAGUAUGGUUUACUAAUACCUUCUGUUUUUUUAAUGUAUUUUUUCCUUUUAGCCGACGAAAUACACCAUAAUUCGUCGGCUAAAACCAUCUUAGUCGACUAAUUAUAGUGUAUUUCGUCGGCUAAAAUCAUCUUAGCCGACGAAAUAUAGUAUAUUUCGUCAGCUAAGAUGGUUUUAGCCGACAAAUAACCUAAUAUUUCAUCGGCUUUAGUUAUUUUUUAAUUUUUUAAUUACAUACUAUAGCCGACAAAUACGUUAGGGUAUUCGUCGGCUAAACCCUAAAAUUUUUCUAUUACAUACUAUAGCCCUAUCUUCGGUGGUUAUUUUCCGUAAAAUUUUUAGACGAUUUCUUGCGUCUCAUCGGUUUAAAACUAUUUUCAGUUGGAGGUCCGGCCAAAAUACGUAAUUUAGAUGGUCGAACGACCUUUUCCGUGCGUUUAGGGGUUUGACUUACGGGAUUGACCGUCUGGAUCGAGCUCUUAACCUUGUCGGAUCAAGUUGAAUUUUUUCCCAUACAUGUAUUUUGUCAUGAUGGUCAGAUCUGAAGGUCGGAUUUCUGUUUCUCAAGUUUGAUCAUCACAAUCACAACAUGCCUACUAAUGUUGUAUAACUUGUUUACCAAGUGUUAUGUAAAUGUUCCGUUUCAAAAACAAACUAUAUGUAAAACCUUCAAACGCAAAAAAGUCGUGAAAUAAGAUAUAACGAGAAUGGUGAACUACAUCCACGGUUGAAAAAUCACACUAUUCCGGUAAAUAUUCGGUGCCAAUAGUUGCAGUCAAUGCAAUUUUUCAUUCUUUCCCCCUAUGAAUAGCCCUAUCUUCGGUGGUUAUUUUGCGUAAAAUUUUUAUACGACUUGUUGCGUGUCAUCGAUUUAAAACUAUUUUCAGUUGAAGGUCCGGCCAAAAUACGUAAUUUAGACGGUCGAACGACCUUUUCCGUGCGUUUAGGGGUUUGACUUACGAGAUUGACCGUCCGGAUCGAGCCCUUAUUCUUAUCGGAUCAAGUUGAAUUUUUGCCCAUACAUGUAUUUUGUCAUGGUGGUCAGAUCUGACGGUCGGAUUUCUGUUUCUCAAGUUUGAUCAUCACAAUCACAAUGUGCCAAAUGUAUAAAAGUACUUUAGCCGACGAAUUUCAAAGGUUAGCCGACGAAUGUCGAAGGUUUAGCCGACGAAUUGAUUCUUAGCCGACGAGAUUCUUAGCUUUAGCUGACGAAUAAUAAUUUCGUCGGCUAAAGUUGUCGGGUUUAACUUGCGCUCGACAGCUGAAAAACCCUAGCCUCCUCUUCCGCCUCCUCUCCCUCUCCCGGUNNNNN